AAUGGGCGAAAGCCUGACGCAGCAACGCCGCGUGUGUGACGAAGGCCCUAGGGUUGUAAAGCACUGUGGGAAGGGAAGAAAAAACGGGGGUUGUACCCCGUCUUGACGGUACCUUGUUAGAAAGCACCGGCUAACUCCGUGCCAGCAGCCGCGGUAAUACGGAGGGUGCAAGCGUUGUUCGGAAUUAUUGGGCGUAAAGGGCGUGUAGGUGGCUUGCCAAGUCUGGUGUGAAAGCCCACGGCUCAACCGUGGAACUGCAUUGGAAACUGGCAAGCUCGAGUGUUGGAGGGGGUCGCGGAAUUCCCGGUGUAGAGGUGAAAUUCGUAGAUAUCGGGAGGAACACCAGUGGCGAAGGCGGCGACCUGGCCAAUCACUGACACUGAGACGCGAAAGCGUGGGGAGCAAA
rnacentral:rRNA from 1 species